rnacentral:rRNA from 1 species
AAAUUGAAGAGUUUGAUCAUGGCUCAGAUUGAACGCUGGCGGCAGGCCUAACACAUGCAAGUCGAACGGUAACAGGAAGCAGCUUGCUGCUUUGCUGACGAGUGGCGGACGGGUGAGUAAUGUCUGGGAAACUGCCUGAUGGAGGGGGAUAACUACUGGAAACGGUGGCUAAUACCGCAUAACGUCGCAAGACCAAAGAGGGGGACCUUCGGGCCUCUUGCCAUCAGAUGUGCCCAGAUGGGAUUAGCUUGUUGGUGAGGUAACGGCUCACCAAGGCGACGAUCCCUAGCUGGUCUGAGAGGAUGACCAGCCACACUGGAACUGAGACACGGUCCAGACUCCUACGGGAGGCAGCAGUGGGGAAUAUUGCACAAUGGGCGCAAGCCUGAUGCAGCCAUGCCGCGUGUAUGAAGAAGGCCUUCGGGUUGUAAAGUACUUUCAGCGGGGAGGAAGGUGUUGUGGUUAAUAACCGCAGCAAUUGACGUUACCCGCAGAAGAAGCACCGGCUAACUCCGUGCCAGCAGCCGCGGUAAUACGGAGGGUGCAAGCGUUAAUCGGAAUUACUGGGCGUAAAGCGCACGCAGGCGGUCUGUCAAGUCGGAUGUGAAAUCCCCGGGCUCAACCUGGGAACUGCAUUCGAAACUGGCAGGCUUGAGUCUUGUAGAGGGGGGUAGAAUUCCAGGUGUAGCGGUGAAAUGCGUAGAGAUCUGGAGGAAUACCGGUGGCGAAGGCGGCCCCCUGGACAAAGACUGACGCUCAGGUGCGAAAGCGUGGGGAGCAAACAGGAUUAGAUACCCUGGUAGUCCACGCCGUAAACGAUGUCUACUUGGAGGUUGUGCCCUUGAGGCGUGGCUUCCGGAGCUAACGCGUUAAGUAGACCGCCUGGGGAGUACGGCCGCAAGGUUAAAACUCAAAUGAAUUGACGGGGGCCCGCACAAGCGGUGGAGCAUGUGGUUUAAUUCGAUGCAACGCGAAGAACCUUACCUGGUCUUGACAUCCACGGAAGUUUUCAGAGAUGAGAAUGUGCCUUCGGGAACCGUGAGACAGGUGCUGCAUGGCUGUCGUCAGCUCGUGUUGUGAAAUGUUGGGUUAAGUCCCGCAACGAGCGCAACCCUUAUCCUUUGUUGCCAGCGAUUAGGUCGGGAACUCAAAGGAGACUGCCAGUGAUAAACUGGAGGAAGGUGGGGAUGACGUCAAGUCAUCAUGGCCCUUACGACCAGGGCUACACACGUGCUACAAUGGCGCAUACAAAGAGAAGCGACCUCGCGAGAGCAAGCGGACCUCAUAAAGUGCGUCGUAGUCCGGAUUGGAGUCUGCAACUCGACUCCAUGAAGUCGGAAUCGCUAGUAAUCGUGGAUCAGAAUGCCACGGUGAAUACGUUCCCGGGCCUUGUACACACCGCCCGUCACACCAUGGGAGUGGGUUGUAAAAGAAGUAGGUAGCUUAACCUUCGGGAGGGCGCUUACCACUUUGUGAUUCAUGACUGGGGUGAAGUCGUAACAAGGUAACCGUAGGGGAACCUGCGGUUGGAUCACCUCCUUACCUUAAAGAAGC